rnacentral:ncRNA from 1 species
AAUAGGGAACGUGAGCUGGGUUUAACCGCCGUGAGACAGGUUAGUUUUACCCUAUUGUUGACUAAUUGUUGCGAUAGUAAUUCUGCUUAGUAUGAGAGGAACAGCAGGUUCAAACAUUUGGUUCAUGGACUUGAUCGAUCAGUCAGUGAUCCGAAGCUAACAUUUGAGGGAUUAUGACUGAAUGCCUCUAAGUCAGAAUCUCACCUAGUCAAGGCAACGAUAACUUUGUUUUCCGGUUUUGGGAGACAAGAAUAUUUUAUAUACGUACAUAUAAAAGUAUAUGCCCUAUUACAUGGCUAUUUUGAUACGUAAUAAAUUCGCGUAUUGAUUGCUAAAGCCAGAUCACUCUGGUUCAAUGUCGGGGCACAAAAUCACAUGUUUACGACAUGUAUGCUGGUCAACGUGUUGUAUCCAGUAGAGCAGUGUUUGUAUACUGCGAUCUGUUGAGACCAUCCUAUGAUCGGCUGUUUUGU